CAGAAAGACAGAUCUAUUUGAAGGAAUUGGCCCUGAUAGUGGAGACUUGCGAAUCUAAAAUCUUCAGGGGGUCUAGCAGUCUGGAGAUCCAGGGAGGUUUUUUGGCAGAACUGCCUUUUCUUCAGAGGAGUUCUUAAAAAGGAAACAGAUGGAUCAUGGCAGACGACAGAGAACUACGGCAUAAUUAAGCAUGUGAAAACUCAAUUGCAGCUCUGUGCUGGAUGUAAUAUCAUUACCAGAAGAGAUCAAUACCUACUGUAACUUUUGGUAAGCUUUUAUUGAUCUGGAAGAUACGUCCUUUUUAAUCGCACAAAGAGUGUAAAUGUAGUAGUUCAAAUUCACCUAGGAAAAUAUAGACAACACUCACUAUCGUAUCACAGGGGUAGACUACCUCCAUCCUCUCUAGAAGAAGAUACCGUUUUCAUCUUGGCAUUCAACAGAGCAUCAUUGUGGCCCUCUAUUGUAAUAAUAUUGUGUAAAUUGGAUUUGGUGAGCAGACCAUGGCAAAUAAUUUCCUAGCAAACAUGGCUGCCAAGAGUCAGAGAUAAAACCUAUAAUCAUAAUUACACUGCCAUAUUGGUUAUUACUUUAGUGAUUUAAUGAUCUAGUCCACAUCAGAAUAUGUACUCUAAACUCAAGGUCAAGUUAUUUUUCUUUGUACCUACUACCUCCAACAAAAAGGCACAGUCUUGUGUGGAACUUCUUGGAUUUUGGAGGAAGAAUAUAUCAUGUUUAAGAAUAUUGUUUUAGCCUAUUAGUUAGAUAAUUCUUAAGGCUGUCAGUUUUGAGGUUCAUAGAAAAAGAACUCUUAGGAAUAGAUUUAGCUCUGUUGCUACUUGACCAUGAGACCUAGAAGAUUCUAUGUUAAUAACCAAACUGUAGAGUUUCUAUGAAGUGUUGAAACAUGCUUUUUAAAAUUUAUUCAUUUUAUUUUUAUAGAUUCAGUGGGUAUAUAUGCAGAUUUGUCACAUGGAUAUAUUGUGGAAAGCUGAGAUUUGGGCUUCUAAUGUUCCUAUUACCUGAAUAAUGAACAUUGUAUCCAGUAGGUAAUUUUUCAACUCUCAAGUCCCUCCCAAGCCCCUCUUUUAAAGUCCCCAGCCUUGACUAUUUUUCUCUGUUUGUACAUGUCUCCCAUUUAUAAGUGAGAACAUGUGGUAUUUGAUGUUGUGUUUCUGAGUAUUUUGACCUCCAGUUACAUCCAUGUUGCUGCAGAAGACAUAAUUUUUUUUCUACGGAUGUGUAGUAUUUCAUGGUAUUCCACAUUUUCUUUAUCCAAUCAUCUUUUGAUGGAAACUUAGGUUCAUUCCAUGACUUUGUUACUGCGACUAGUGCAGUGAUAAACAUAUGAGUGCAGAUAUAUAUAUAUAACAAUUUCUCUUUCUUUGGGUAGAUACCCAGUAGUGGGAUUGCUGGGCCUAAUGGUGGUUCUAUUUUUACUUCUUUGAGAAAUCUCUAUACUGUUGUCCAUAGAGGUUGUACUAAUUCAUAUUCGCACCAACGGUGUAUAAGUGCUCCCUUUUCUCUGCAUCUUUGUCGACAUCUGUGGUUUUUUGACUUUUUAAUAAUGGCCAUUCCGACCGGUGUGAUGUGGCAUCUCAUUGUGGUUUUAACUUGCAUUUCACUGACGGUUAGUGAUAUUGAGCAUUUUAUUUUAUGUUUCUUGUCCUCUUGUAUAUCUUCUUUUGAGAAAUGUCUGUUCCUAUCUUUUCCCCACUUGUUAAUGAGAUUAUUUUUUCUUGUUGAGUUUAGUUCCUUGUAGAUUCUGGAUUUUAGUCCUUUGUUAGAUGCAUAGUAACAGGCAUUCCUGAGGGAGAAAAAGAAGAAAAAUUAAAAUAUCUGGAAAACAUUCUGGAUAGGAUAAU
rnacentral:lncRNA from 1 species